rnacentral:rRNA from 1 species
UACGAAGUGUGCAAGCGUUAAUCGGAAUUACUGGGCGUAAAGCGCGCGUAGGUGGUUCGUUAAGUUAGGAGUGAAAGCCCCGGGCUCAACCUGGGAAUUGCUUCUAAAACUGGCGAGCUAGAGUAUGGUAGAGGGUGGUGGAAUUUCCUGUGUAGCGGUGGAAUGCGUAGAUAUAGGAAGGAACAUCAGUGGCGAAGGCGACCACCUGGACUGAUACUGACACUGAGGUGCGAAAGCGUGGGGAGCAAACAGGAUUAGAUACCCCCGUAGUCCCU